GAUGAACGCUGGCGGCGUGCCUAAUACAUGCAAGUCGAGCGAACGGACGAGAAGCUUGCUUCUCUGAUGUUAGCGGCGGACGGGUGAGUAACACGUGGAUAACCUACCUAUAAGACUGGGAUAACUUCGGGAAACCGGAGCUAAUACCGGAUAAUAUUUUGAACCGCAUGGUUCAAAAGUGAAAGACGGUCUUGCUGUCACUUAUAGAUGGAUCCGCGCUGCAUUAGCUAGUUGGUAAGGUAACGGCUUACCAAGGCAACGAUGCAUAGCCGACCUGAGAGGGUGAUCGGCCACACUGGAACUGAGACACGGUCCAGACUCCUACGGGAGGCAGCAGUAGGGAAUCUUCCGCAAUGGGCGAAAGCCUGACGGAGCAACGCCGCGUGAGUGAUGAAGGUCUUCGGAUCGUAAAACUCUGUUAUUAGGGAAGAACAUAUGUGUAAGUAACUGUGCACAUCUUGACGGUACCUAAUUAGAAAGCCACGGCUAACUACGUGCCAGCAGCCGCGGUAAUACGUAGGUGGCAAGCGUUAUCCGGAAUUAUUGGGCGUAAAGCGCGCGUAGGCGGUUUUUUAAGUCUGAUGUGAAAGCCCACGGCUCAACCGUGGAGGGUCAUUGGAAACUGGAAAACUUGAGUGCAGAAGAGGAAAGUGGAAUUCCAUGUGUAGCGGUGAAAUGCGCAGAGAUAUGGAGGAACACCAGUGGCGAAGGCGACUUUCUGGUCUGUAACUGACGCUGAUGUGCGAAAGCGUGGGGAUCAAACAGGAUUAGAUACCCUGGUAGUCCACGCCGUAAACGAUGAGUGCUAAGUGUUAGGGGGUUUCCGCCCCUUAGUGCUGCAGCUAACGCAUUAAGCACUCCGCCUGGGGAGUACGACCGCAAGGUUGAAACUCAAAGGAAUUGACGGGGACCCGCACAAGCGGUGGAGCAUGUGGUUUAAUUCGAAGCAACGCGAAGAACCUUACCAAAUCUUGACAUCCUUUGACAACUCUAGAGAUAGAGCUUUCCCCUUCGGGGGACAAAGUGACAGGUGGUGCAUGGUUGUCGUCAGCUCGUGUCGUGAGAUGUUGGGUUAAGUCCCGCAACGAGCGCAACCCUUAAGCUUAGUUGCCAUCAUUAAGUUGGGCACUCUAAGUUGACUGCCGGUGACAAACCGGAGGAAGGUGGGGAUGACGUCAAAUCAUCAUGCCCCUUAUGAUUUGGGCUACACACGUGCUACAAUGGACAAUACAAAGGGCAGCGAAACCGCGAGGUCAAGCAAAUCCCAUAAAGUUGUUCUCAGUUCGGAUUGUAGUCUGCAACUCGACUACAUGAAGCUGGAAUCGCUAGUAAUCGUAGAUCAGCAUGCUACGGUGAAUACGUUCCCGGGUCU
rnacentral:rRNA from 1 species